UCCCCAGUCGUCUGGCCCCUGUGUGAUCUCAUCUCCCUCAUGAAGCCAGUCACUUGCAUUCUCCUCCACAGUGGGACCUCCUGCUUCACUCAGGCUGGAUUUCUUACUGACCCCACUGCGUGAAAUUUUCAUCAUGCCUGAAAUUCCCCAUGGGAAUAUGCUCCCCUCUUCCUCCUGCUACAUGGUAAUUUUCAACCAGCUCGUGAAACAGCAAAAUAGAUUAUUUUGAUUGGAAAAGAACUACUGAUGGCUGCCCUCAGGAGUGAUAAAACCUACUGGAAAUAAUUGUAAUCACCUCUACACUGGUGGUGAAAACUUUUAAAAAUGAGCCGGCCUGGCAGCUGUUAUCAGACCUUUCCAUUUCCAGGGUCUCACGCUGUCACCCAGGCUGGAGUGCUGUGGCACGAUCUCAGCUCACUGCAACCUCGGGAUCCUGGGCUCCAACAAUUCUCCUGCCUCAGCCUCCUGAGUAGCUGGGAGCACGCGCUACCACGCCUGAUUUUUUUAUUUUUUGUAGUGAUGGGGUUUUGCCAUGUUGCCCAGGCUGAUCUCGAACAUCUGGACUUAAGUCAUCCACCUGCCUCGACCUCCCAAAGUGCUGGGAUUACAGGCCUUGGCCCCCUCACCUGGCUCAUCUCAGAUUUCUAAUAAAUGUUAUCAGCAAACACAUUAAACUAUGGGGAAAUGCAUUUCUAAAAUGGUGAACUCGGAACUUAGAAGCCUUUGCAUAGCCGUCCCAGUGCUCACCAUCAUAACAAGAUAAGGCUGAAUCAUUGUAGGUGACUGGGCUGCACAGCAGGGCACAGAGAUACAAAGUAAAAGAUUCUCAUGGCCUUGAUGUACUGCUUGUUCUAUCAAGAAAAAUAAUUAAAUGGAUAAACUCACCAAUCGUGCUUACGGUGAAAAAACAUGUUACACCAUUUCUGUAGAUUGGAUUUUUCCCCGAAUAUUUGGGAUAUAUCUCAGCUUGCCUAAAGUACCUACUCUUUGAAAAUUCUAAAAUGAAUUAAUGGAUGCAAAAUUUGAAUAGAUUUCCAAAUCCUUAGCUGGAUAUUUUACAGAGUGGGAAUAUCUCAUCAAAUGAACUCAAGUAAUGCAAACAUAAUACAAUUAAUGAACAAAUCAAAGCAGUCUGCCGGCUGAACUCAGUUAACUGCUCUGAAAGUGACGGAGUUAAAUCCAUCAAGCAUUUUACAACUGUCUUAGUUAAAAAUAACCUAGAAAUAUCUUUCCAAGCUCUGGCUAUUAGCCUUUAUCAGCUUCUACACUGGUGAGUUAAAUGUGGCAAGAGACAUCCACUUUGCCCCACGUGUAUUAAUGCAGGACACAGUCUGAAAAUGCUUGAGCUUGCCUGAUAUUUUUACAAAUGUUUAAGGCUUUAAAGCCCAAUCAAAGUUUUGGCCACACCGUACAAAAAAUAAAAAAAAACAAAAAACAAAAAAAAGAGAGAGAGAGAGAACAGUAUCUAAACUGUGGGGGGAAAUUUUGAAUGUGGCCAUUUAAUUUGCCACAGCAGCAAAAUUGGGUUUGCACAAUAGACACUGAAACUUGUUGGAAAUGUUGAUAGGUGAAAUAUGCUGAGUUCUGAUACUUUUGAAUAAAGAAUGUUUAUUUGUCUGA